UCUGACGGGUUUAUACGGCACUUGGCAAAAAUUCUAUACUUUUCCAGACGAGAAAGAAAGAAAAAGCGCCUCUCUGCCUCCUUGCCUCUGCAAGCACCGUCUCAUUCCGAAGGAGGCAGGCACGGAGGGACGUGGCUGGGUUCCGAGCUGUCACUUUGCGAGCUCAUUCCUGGGGUUCCAGUAGCAUCCAGAAGAUGUGAACAAGCCAGCUUUCCCCAUUAGGUGGUUCUGUGAGCACAGGAUCAGUGGGAAAAGGAAUUUCCUCUGGAUAUUUGGGCAGAAGACUGAAGACCUAAGUCAGAUGUCUAUGAGUUUUUCCAAUUUUUUCCACAACUUGGAGUGGGAUUAGUCUCCCCCUCUCCUCUGCCCAGAUUUCUCUUUGCAUUGCACCUUGCAAACAGAGAAGGUAAAAUUCUUGCUGCUUAAAGGACUGUCAGUUAAAGGAAAAAUAUUUCCUUUCAGAGGGGAGAAGCCAGGAGAAAUUUUUUUUUUUUAAAUUCACAUCUUCAUACAGACAAG